UUGAACUAGCCACUGUUCAAAAUCAUUGUGCUGAAUACUUUGUAAGAUGGAACGUUCUUUUGAUUUACUUAUGUUGGCCUUUAACAGUCUAUACUAUGAACUAACUUGGAAAGUGAAGCAACGGGUCAGAAUUCAUGCUGGGGGGGAUAAAUGAAUACAAACUGAGAGAUUUUUCAUAUACUUUGAUCCACAUUAACUCUUUAAUACCUUGCAGGUUCACAAUUAUGUUUAGAAUAUAUUUUGUCAGCUGUACGUUCACAGUUUUGCCCAUAUUUCCUCAAGCUGAAGGGACGAACACAGAAAGGUUUUGUAUUGCUUGCCUGGAAAAUAGCUAUGACCCUAUGUGUACUGAGAAAGUAAGUAAUCACCUAGACAAAUGAUAAUUGUUAUUCUUAUCUGAAAAAAAAAAAAAAGAAGUGAAAGAAUAACAAAAGACUUGUCACCAAAAACACCGUCACCAGUAAGAAAAAAAGUUAAAGUCACAUCAGCUGCUGAGUUGAAACCUUUUGUUGCAUGAGGAGGACUAAAUCUAUGUGCUAAUAGGAUCCUCAAUUAUACACCAUUCCCUGCCUCAUUCCAAAACUAAAAGAAGAGAUGCUCUGGUCUGGUUUCGACAAGCGAUGUUUCAGCAAUUGCACACAGUGGAGAUUUUUUCAAGGCACAUCAGGCAUAUCCUGUAUCAAAACGGAUGGACCAUGCAAGAACACACUUCCAGCACUUAACAAGUAAGUUAGUUUUCAUAAGGAUGAGAAAGUGCCUCCUGAGACAACACAUUGCUGAGAAGAAUUAGAACACCAAAGAAAAGCUCCCUUCAGUACAAGAUCAGCAGUGAAAUUGCAGGGACUUGCAGAUAGAUUUGAAUAAACCCAUUUCUAUGAAGACAUAAGGAAGAAAUGAUCAGAAGGUCAAAGGUCAGAGCUCCCUGUUUAAUUUUUUAAUGAUUUCCAAUUCUUGACAAGGUUCCCAGUAUCAACAUUCUGCUCAGUUAUUUGCCCAGCACUCAUCCUAUUCAUAUUUGAUAUAGGAUAAUUAGCAACUGGCCUUGAGAAGUGCAGCCCUUUCUACCAUCUGCGCAAUCAAUGUUAGAAAGUGUUCUUCUUCCUAGGGA